rnacentral:rRNA from 1 species
GUGAGGAAUAUUGCGCAAUGGACGAAAGUCUGACGCAGCCAUGCCGCGUGAAGGAUUGACGGCCCUAUGGGUUGUAAACUUCUUUUGUAUAGGAAUAAACCCUCGUUCGUGAACGAGGCUGAAGGUACUAUAAGAAUAAGCACCGGCUAACUCCGUGCCAGCAGCCGCGGUAAUACGGAGGGUGCAAGCGUUAUCCGGAUUUAUUGGGUUUAAAGGGUCCGUAGGCGGAUCGUUAAGUCAGUGGUGAAAUCCUACCGCUCAACGGUAGAACUGCCAUUGAUACUGGCGAUCUUGAGUAUGUAUGAAGUUGGCGGAAUGUGUGGUGUAGCGGUGAAAUGCUUAGAUAUCACACAGAACACCGAUUGCGAAGGCAGCUGACUAAUACACAACUGACGCUGAGGGACGAAAGUGUGGGGAUCAAACAGGAUUAGAACCCCAGUAGUCC